GACUUUGACAAACUGACAGAAGAAGGCUUCAGAUGAUACAACUAGUCCGAGCUACGGGAGGAAAUUCAAACCAAUGGAAAAGAAGUUAAAAACUUUGAAAAAAAAUUCGAUGAAUGGAUACCUAGAAUAACCAAUACAGAGAAGUCCUUAAAGGAGCUGAUGGAGCUGAAAGCCAAGGCUCGACAACUACGUGACAGCCUGCCUGACCUCCCACAGACAGUACAGCAAAUAGAUGCAAAACUCUUGAACACAAUAUUAGCAAACCAAAUUCAACAGCACAUUGAAAGGAUCAUACACCACAAUCAUGUAAGAUUUUUCUCUGGAAUGCA
rnacentral:lncRNA from 1 species